rnacentral:misc_RNA from 1 species
GAAAUGCGAAAGUUAAUGCGAAUUGCAGAAUUCAGUGAAUCAUCGAGUCUUUGAACGCACAUUGCGCCCGCCGGCAUUCCGGGGGGCAUGCCUGUCCGAGCGUCAUUACGCACCCUCAAGCCCGGCUUGUGUGAUGGGCCCUGGCGUCUCGUUCGCGAGACGGGCCCGAAAGGCAGCGGCGGCGUCGACCCGAUGAGCCCGAGCGUAUGGGGACUUUUGUCACACGUUUGCGGUGCGGACCGGCGCCUGCUUGACUUUUCUGAUUAUCCAGGUUGACCUCGGAUCAGGUAGGGAUACCCGCUGAACUUAAGC